rnacentral:rRNA from 1 species
UGGGGAAUAUUGGACAAUGGGGGGAACCCUGAUCCAGCAAUGCCGCGUGUGUGAAGAAGGCCUGAGGGUUGUAAAGCUCUUUUGGCGGGGAAGAUAAUGACGGUACCCGCAGAAUAAGCUCCGGCUAACUUCGUGCCAGCAGCCGCGGUAAUACGAAGGGAGCUAGCGUUGUUCGGAAUCACUGGGCGUAAAGCGCACGUAGGCGGAUGUGUCAGUCAGGGGUGAAAUCCCGGAGCUCAACUUCGGAACUGCCCUUGAUACAGCACGUCUUGAGUCCGAUAGAGGUGGGUGGAAUUCCUAGUGUAGAGGUGAAAUUCGUAGAUAUUAGGAAGAACACCGGUGGCGAAGGCGGCCCACUGGAUCGGUACUGACGCUGAGGUGCGAAAGCGUGGGGAGCAAACAGGAUUAGAUACCCAUGUAGUCCCUGAGCGGGCUGGCAAGGCGCAU